AUUUGUUUUGCUGGCAAAACAUUUAAUCUCCCUGGGUCUUUAGGCUCUUUCAGCCCUGAUUGUUUUGCGACAGGAAACGAAGGCGGCCGUUCAGUGAUUUCCCUCCAUCAUCCACUUCCUCCGAUAAUAUUUGCUCUGGGCCGCCAGCUGAAGUGAUGAGAGCCAGGACAAUGCUUUGGCUUCUGAAUCAUCUCAUCUGUUCUGCUCUGUCAAGGAUAUCUGGACUCAAGAGGAGCAAAAGAGACACCAGUUUUGUAAAUGUUUUGCUGGCCCUGUGACUGACUGGUGACCUGUCCAAGAUGUUCCCUGCCUCUUGUUCAUUGAUUGGCUCCAGACCACAGCAACCCACAACAGGCAGUGACGGUGUAUUUGUCAGGAGGACAGAGAAACCCCACAGCAUCCGUCACCUUCACACAGAGCAGCCCUGGGUCCUAACAGCACGCUCCGCUCCCUCUCUCAGCUGGGAACAAACAGACCUCGGAGUGUGUCACAAAGGUUUGGAUGUCGGUACUGUGACAAUCCACCACUGUUUGGAAAAAAGACCUCUACAGUGAUACAUGAGUUUAUAUUUGACUCUGUG